GAUGAACGCUGGCGGCGUGCCUAAUACAUGCAAGUCGAGCGAACAGACGAGGAGCUUGCUCCUCCGACGUUAGCGGCGGACGGGUGAGUAACACGUGGAUAACCUACCUAUAAGACUGGGAUAACUUCGGGAAACCGGAGCUAAUACCGGAUAAUAUAUUGAACCGCAUGGUUCAAUAGUGAAAGACGGUUUUGCUGUCACUUAUAGAUGGAUCCGCGCCGCAUUAGCUAGUUGGUAAGGUAACGGCUUACCAAGGCGACGAUGCGUAGCCGACCUGAGAGGGUGAUCGGCCACACUGGAACUGAGACACGGUCCAGACUCCUACGGGAGGCAGCAGUAGGGAAUCUUCCGCAAUGGGCGAAAGCCUGACGGAGCAACGCCGCGUGAGUGAUGAAGGUCUUCGGGUCGUAAAACUCUGUUAUUAGGGAAGAACAAAUGUGUAAGUAACUAUGCACGUCUUGACGGUACCUAAUCAGAAAGCCACGGCUAACUACGUG
rnacentral:rRNA from 1 species